AAUUUUUCUACACAUAUUAAAGUAACGUAUCUUCUUUUGUUAGAAUACAAAAUGAAGAAUGAAAACAAUUUCGAAUAAAAUUUCUUUAAAAUGUUUUUUCUCCAAACCAGGAAAAUGAUGUAGGUACAAGUUUGUCAUUGUAUUUUUGCUUUUUCACAACGUCUACUCUAUCCUGUAGCUUAGCAGUAUGAAUAUAAUCUUGUUUUAUUCCUUAUAAUCAAACUUUUAAACUCUGUUCUGUUAUUUUGUGUCCCCGAAAAUUUAUUUAACAAUCCAGCCCAUCUCUUAUAGUCCACACCGAUGUGAAUAAAAAAUAUAGGAGUAAAGAAUCUAAAGAACUGCAAUAAUGAUGGGGUAACCGUUUGCGACGACUAGUUAGAUUUUAUAAUCUUGACAAUACCAUGUUCCACUUCAAUAGAAAAGCUCAGUACCAUCCACACAUAAAGAGAACCGAAGUGGAGGAAUUAUACUGUUUGCGAUCCACUGGAUAAAAAAAGGAUUUCAUUUUGAUAAUAUCUAAAU